CGCCUUUUACGCGCACACAACGCAGAUGUUGCGGAAGUCCGGCACCCAGCGCCGGCAGCCGGCGCUGUGGCGGCGGUGCCGUAGCCUCCGCCAAAUCAAGCAGGUCCACACCCUCCUGGUCCUCCGGGGCUUCCUCUCGGACCCCUCCGCGCUCCGCGAGCUCCUCUUCGCGUCCGCUGUAGCCGUGCGCGGCGCCAUCGCCCACGCCUACCACGUGUUCGACCAAAUCCCGCGCCCGGACCUCUUCAUGUACAACACCCUCAUCCGCGGCGCCGCGCACACCUCCGCGCCCCGGGACGCCGUCUCCCUCUACGCGCGCAUGGCGCGACUCAGCAGCUGCGGCGGCGGCGUGAGGCCCGACAAGAUCACCUUCCCGUUCGUGCUCCGGGCGUGCACCGCCAUGGGCGCGGGUGGCACCGGAGCGCAGGUGCACGCGCACGUCGUGAAGGCUGGACUGGAGUCCGACGCGUUCGUCAAGAACGCGCUCAUUGGCAUGCACGCGAGCUGCGGAGAGCUGGGUGUUGCAGGUGCUCUGUUUGACCACAGGGCGCGUGAGGACGCCGUGGCGUGGUCGGCGAUGAUCAGCGGCUGUGCAAGGAGAGGGGAUAUUGGUGCUGCCCGGCAGCUGUUCGACGAGUGUCCUGUGAAGGACCUUGUGUCCUGGAACGUGAUGAUCACCGCGUAUGCCAAGCGGGGAGAGAUGGCCCCAGCAAGAGAGCUGUUCGACCAGGCACCUGAGCGUGAUGUCGUGUGCUGGAACGCCAUGAUCUCUGGGUAUGUGAGAUGCGGCUCGCACAAGCAUGCCAUGGACCUGUUUGAGCAGAUGCAGCGCAUGGGCAAAAAGCCAGAUGUUAUCACAAUGCUGAGCUUACUGUCAGCUUGUGCCGACUCCGGUGAUUUGGAUGUUGGCCGAAGGUUGCAUUCCUCUCUUUCAGAGAAGUUCUCAGGAACUGGUUUUACUGUCGUCCUCGGCAAUGCGCUGAUUCACAUGUACGCAAAAUGCGGGAGCAUGAAGAGUGCACUGGAGGUGUUUUGGGUGAUGCGAGAUAAGGAUGUCUCAACUUGGAACUCUAUCAUAGGAGGUUUGGCAUUGCAUGGUCAUGCCCUGGAGUCUGUUGACGUGUUCAAGAAAAUGCUGAAAGAGAAAGUCCGGCCUGAUGAGAUCACCUUCGUCGCUGUCCUUAUCGCAUGCAGCCACGGCGGUAUGGUUGACAAGGGACGUGAGUACUUCAACUUGAUGCAACAGCAGUACAGGAUUGAGCCCAAUGUCAAGCAUUACGGUUGCAUGGUUGACAUGCUGGGUCGCGCGGGGCUUCUGAAGGAAGCAUUUGAGUUCAUUGACACCAUGAAGGUGGAGCCUAAUUCUGUCAUCUGGAGGACGCUUCUUGGGGCUUGUAGGGUCCAUGGUGAGAUUGAACUGGCUGAGCACGCUAACAGACAGCUGCUAAAGGCAAGGAGCGAUGACAGUGGGGAUUAUGUGCUCCUCUCGAACAUCUAUGCUUCAGCUGGAGAAUGGUUGGAGUCGGAGAAGAUGAGAAAGUUGAUGGAUGACAGCGGUGUCAACAAGGAGGCAGGUCGCACGGUUGUAGAUGGCAGCACAAAGGAUCCACUGCAGUCUUUCAGACGGUCGAAAUCACAUCCUGGACUGAAAGGAUUUAUUGGUUGAAUUGAUGAGUUCGUGAUGUACAAAAAGAGAAUGCCUUAGAAAGCCUGGUCAUACGAAAGAGGAAUUAUUACUAUUGAGAUAUUAUGGUGACGGUGUUUAGCAGUCAUAAAAGAUAAAUGGAUGUGAGGCGAACAAGGGUCCUCAAAAAGAUUUUUCUCCAAUUUCAAGAUAAUUUGCCUAACCGUCGAGAGCCAGGACGUGCAUCCAGUAGCAACUUUAACAUUGUCUACACAUCAAACAAACCACCAAGAACAAGAGCAAAAGAGCCAGUUUCAUCUAUCACCACCAAGAACAAGAGCAAAAGAACCAGCUUCAUCUAUCUACCACUACAUCGUAGAGACAAACCCAGCUGGAUGAUCAACACCUCAGGUGUAAGAAGAGAACAAGAGCUUCACAAUUCUGCAUCCAGUAUCCACUAUCACUACGUGUAGAUCACCUAUGCAUGUACCAACUAGAUGUACCCUUUGUUGAUCACCUAUGCAUGUAUCAACUACAUGUACCCUAUCCUUGUAUGAACUGCUUUGCUAUGUUCAAGUUUUGGGAGGACUUACCCGAUAUUUAGAAAAAACUAAAUAGCUUAUCGAUCUACGUGGCGCGGCGUGCCGCCGCGCAUUACCCGCUAC